rnacentral:rRNA from 1 species
ACUCCUACGGGAGGCAGCAGUGGGAAUAUUGGACAAUGGGGCACCGUAGCAUCCAGCGAUGCCGCGUGUGUGAAGAAGGCCUGAGGGUUGUAAAGCACUUUAGUGGGAGGAAGUUAACAGGUUAAGAGCUAGUUAAGUUGACGUUACCCACCAUAAACAGCACCGGCUAACUCCGUGCCAGCAGCCGCGGUAAUACGGGGUGGCA